UGGGGAAUUUUGGACAAUGGGCGAAAGCCUGAUCCAGCAAUGCCGCGUGUGUGAAGAAGGUUUUCGGAUCGUAAAACUCUGUCUUUUGGGGCGAACGUGANUAUGGUGAACAAUCAUAGUCAGUGACGGUACCAAAGGAGGAAGCCACGGCUAACUACGUGCCAGCAGCCGCGGUAAUACGUAGGUGCAAGCGUUGUCCGGAAUUAUUGGGCGUAAAGAGCGCGUAGGCGGGAUAGUCAGUCUGUUGUAAAGUGCGGGGCUCAACCCCGUGAUGGCAAUGGAAACAGCUAUUCUUGAGUGCAGGAGAGGAAAGUGGAAUUCCCAGUGUAGCGGUGAAAUGCGUAGAUAUUGGGAGGAACACCAGUGGCGAAGGCGACUUUCUGGACUGUGUCUGACGCUGAGGCGCGAAAGCCAGGGGAGCGAACGGGAUUAGAUACCCCGGUAGUCCUGG
rnacentral:rRNA from 1 species